rnacentral:tRNA from 1 species
GGAGAGGUGGCAGAGCGGUUGAACGCGCUGGUCUCGAAAACCAGUAUGGCCUCCGGGUCAUCGGGGGUUCGAAUCCCCCCCUCUCCG